CAAAUCUGAGCUGGACAUCUACGCCAAAUACAGUAAAGUCAUCCUCAUCAUCCUCCUCAAGUACCUGCCUCCCCAUCUACGACACCCUUUCAGUCUCCACUCUCGAUUAACAGUCUAAAGGACUGUGUAGGAGAGAGUGAUCAAAUCUGAGCUGGACAUCUACGUCAAUUGUGUUUAAAUGACAUCGUUCCAGUCUCCACUCUCGAGGUGCAGUUCCAGGGAAGGAAGCUCUUGAGAGGAGAGUGCAGCAUCCCAACACAAGACACUGAGGAAAAGAUGAAGAUGAUCGGGAGACUGCACUGUUGACAAUCAUCCUUCUGCCUUAAGCACCUACAUACCUGUAUGCUCCAGAUUCAGAUUGCUUCAGUCUUUCUCUCUCUCUUUCUCUAUCAACCCCAACCGGUCAA